UCUUGGUCAAUUCGAGGAAGAUAAAGAUGAAGUCAAAGUUGUAGCAGGUGAUCCUGCGGAGAGAUCAUUGACGAGUCUGAAAUCGAGAGCUGUUGAUGGUGCGGAAACGCACAUCGAGCACGGCUCCCGUGCUCAAUCCAUUUCAACCCCCUUGUGCACCUUAUCGAAGUCAGUAGUCUUUCUCUUUUUGUUUGCCGGUUGUGUGCGGGAACCUCUUUCUGUUCACUUGGCCGGCGAGGAGAAAUAGAGGGUCGAAAGCUUUGACUUUUCUGUUAAACACUUUGUAUGUCUUGUGGAACGUAUUAGCUCCUUUGCAGGGGCGAAAUAAAUACAACUUUCAACAACGGAUCUCUUGGCUCUCGCAUCGAUGAAGAACGCAGCGAAAUGCGAUAAGUAAUGUGAAUUGCAGAAUUCAGUGAAUCAUCGAAUCUUUGAACGCACCUUGCGCCCCUUGGUAUUCCGAGGGGCAUGCCUGUUUGAGUGUCAUGUUAAUCUCAAACCCCUUGUCUUUUUUGACUUGGUCGGUUUGGACUGGUAGGUGUUGCUGCGAGUAUUCGCGGUCCUACGUCGGCUCCUCUUAAUUGCAUUAGCUGGACUUUGGUUCGCAUUUGACGGUGUAAUAGUAAAGUGUUCGCCGGGCGUGCUUGCCUAACGGGUCUGCUUCUAAUCGUCUUCGGACAACUCUGUUCAUUUUGACCUUGACCUCAAAUCCCCGCUGACUACCCGCUGAUCUUUAGCCUAUCGAUAAGCGGAUGACAAGAAUUUCACUAGUAUCCCCGAGUGAACUGCGAGUGACUCGGGAAUAGCUCCUGUUUAAAAUCUGUCGUCUGAGUUGCGAUCCUAGAUGAUACUCUUGUACACGCAUGUUUCCGCGCAUGGA
rnacentral:rRNA from 1 species